rnacentral:rRNA from 1 species
ACGAACGCUGGCGGCGUGCCUAAUACAUGCAAGUAGAACGCUGAAGAGAGGAGCUUGCUCUUCUUGGAUGAGUUGCGAACGGGUGAGUAACGCGUAGGUAACCUGCCUUGUAGCGGGGGAUAACUAUUGGAAACGAUAGCUAAUACCGCAUAACAAUGGAUGACACAUGUCAUUUAUUUGAAAGGGGCAAUUGUUCCACUACAAGAUGGACCUGCGUUGUAUUAGCUAGUAGGUGAGGUAAUGGCUCACCUAGGCGACGAUACAUAGCCGACCUGAGAGGGUGAUCGGCCACACUGGGACUGAGACACGGCCCAGACUCCUACGGGAGGCAGCAGUGGGGAAUAUUGCGCAAUGGGGGCAACCCUGACGCAGCAACGCCGCGUGCAGGAAGAAGGUCUUCGGAUUGUAAACUGUUGUCGCAAGGGAAGAAGACAGUGACGGUACCUUGUGAGAAAGUCACGGCUAACUACGUGCCAGCAGCCGCGGUAAUACGUAGGUCCCGAGCGUUGUCCGGAUUUAUUGGGCGUAAAGCGAGCGCAGGCGGUUUGAUAAGUCUGAAGUUAAAGGCUGUGGCUCAACCAUAGUUCGCUUUGGAAACUGUCAAACUUGAGUGCAGAAGGGGAGAGUGGAAUUCCAUGUGUAGCGGUGAAAUGCGUAGAUAUAUGGAGGAACACCGGUGGCGAAAGCGGCUCUCUGGUCUGUAACUGACGCUGAGGCUCGAAAGCGUGGGGAGCGAACAGGAUUAGAUACCCUGGUAGUCCACGCCGUAAACGAUGAGUGCUAGGUGUUGGAUCCUUUCCGGGAUUCAGUGCCGCAGCUAACGCAUUAAGCACUCCGCCUGGGGAGUACGACCGCAAGGUUGAAACUCAAAGGAAUUGACGGGGGCCCGCACAAGCGGUGGAGCAUGUGGUUUAAUUCGAAGCAACGCGAAGAACCUUACCAGGUCUUGACAUCCCGAUGCUAUUUCUAGAGAUAGAAAGUUACUUCGGUACAUCGGUGACAGGUGGUGCAUGGUUGUCGUCAGCUCGUGUCGUGAGAUGUUGGGUUAAGUCCCGCAACGAGCGCAACCCCUAUUGUUAGUUGCCAUCAUUCAGUUGGGCACUCUAGCGAGACUGCCGGUAAUAAACCGGAGGAAGGUGGGGAUGACGUCAAAUCAUCAUGCCCCUUAUGACCUGGGCUACACACGUGCUACAAUGGUUGGUACAACGAGUUGCGAGUCGGUGACGGCGAGCUAAUCUCUUAAAGCCAAUCUCAGUUCGGAUUGUAGGCUGCAACUCGCCUACAUGAAGUCGGAAUCGCUAGUAAUCGCGGAUCAGCACGCCGCGGUGAAUACGUUCCCGGGCCUUGUACACACCGCCCGUCACACCACGAGAGUUUGUAACACCCGAAGUCGGUGAGGUAACCUUUUGGAGCCAGCCGCCUAAGGUGGGACAGAUGAUUGGGGUG